UACGGAGGGUGCAAGCGUUAUCCGGAUUCACUGGGUUUAAAGGGUGCGUAGGCGGGCUUGUAAGUCCGUGGUGAAAUCUCUGAGCUUAACUCGGAAACUGCCAUGGAUACUAUGGGUCUUGAAUACUCGGGAGGUGAGCGGAAUAUGUCAUGUAGCGGUGAAAUGCUUAGAUAUGACAUAGAACACCAAUUGCGAAGGCAGCUUGCUACAGAGUUAUUGACGCUGAGGCACGAAAGCGUGGGGAUCAAACAGG
rnacentral:rRNA from 2 species